AGAGUUUGAUCCUGGCUCAGAAUGAACGUUGGCGGCGUGGAUUAGGCAUGCAAGUCGAACGAGUCUCUGGGGGGUAACUCCUAGAGGAAAGUGGCGAAAGGGGCAGUAAUGUAUGGGUAACCUACCUUGAGGUCUGGGAUAGCCAUUCUAACGGAUGGGUAAUACUGGACGGCCUGAGUUGUCGGCAUCGAUGACUUAGUAAAGGUUACGCCUCGAGAGGGGCCCAUAUGAUAUUAGCUAGUUGGUGAGGUAAUGGCUCACCAAGGCAAAGAUGUCUAGCGGGUGUGAGAGCACGACCCGCGUCAUUGGCACUGAGACACUGGCCAAACUCCUACGGGAGGCUGCAGUCGAGGAUCUUCGGCAAUGGACGAAAGUCUGACCGAGCAACGCCGCGUGUGCGAUGAAGGCCUUCGGGUUGUAAAGCACUGUCGAGGGGAAACAAGCCGUAAGGUUGAGUGACCCCUGGAGGAAGCACGGGCUAAGUUCGUGCCAGCAGCCGCGGUAAGACGAACCGUGCAAACGUUAUUCGGAAUCACUGGGCUUAAAGGGCGCGUAGGCGGGUGAUCAAGUCAAUGGUGAAAUCCUCCAGCUUAACUGGAGAAGUGCCUUUGAUACUGAUUGUCUAGAGGGAGGUAGGGGCAUGUGGAACUUCAGGUGGAGCGGUGAAAUGCGUAGAUAUCUGAAGGAACGCCAGUGGCGAAAGCGAUGUGCUGGACCUCUUCUGACGCUGAGGCGCGAAAGCUAGGGGAUCAAACGGGAUUAGAUACCCUGGUAGUCCAA
rnacentral:rRNA from 1 species